rnacentral:lncRNA from 1 species
GACAUACAUAUGUAAUACCCAGUAUCUCCUCUAAAGGUUUUCGGCCAAUAUCCCUCCCCUCUCCAACCACCUUCUCUACCCCACCACUCAGGACUGAUGUCAGGAAUUAUGUGUGUCCUUGGGAAAACUAUGUAUCCCAGUCCUGGUCUACUAUUCUACAGCAAACCCUGAAUGGCUUAGCACCCAAAUGGCCUUGGCAGAGGCUGGGGUUGAGUGGGCCUUCUAUUUCACACCUCUGUGCUUAUGUAGUGUGUUUCUGCCAAUCAACAAAGGGGGUUUAGCAAAAAUGGACCCAUGACUUCAUUGCCAGUGCCAGAUAUUCAAAUGUAAAACAAAGGGCCCUGGGGUCUUUCUGUAAACUGGAAGUCAAGGGAAAUGGACAGAGGGCUCAGGAGGGGUCCAUCUUUGCUCCCAGGUCAGAUGGAGAAUGUGGAGCACCUGGGACAUAGAAAGACGUGGUAAGGGAGGAGUGUCUAAGACUUUCUCACUUAUCAUGGGAU